rnacentral:tRNA from 1 species
GGAUAUAGCUCAGUUGGCAGAGUGCGUGCCUUGCAUGCACAAGGCCCUGGGUUUGAUCCCCAGCACCA